UGCCCAUUGGCCCAGUGGUUAAGGCGUCUGACUGUUAAGCAUCAGAAAAAUCAGAAGAUCCCUGGUUCGACCCCAGGAUGGGCAG